ACGUUGGAAUCAUCACUCUGGCUUUCCCUUAGCAUCAAUUCAAGCAUCUUCCGUUUAUCCUUUUCCCUCCCAUAUACUUGAGGUUCAUUUGGCAGACACGUACUGGAUGAACAGGAACUCCUCCAUCGUUUAGUAGACUGGCCUUCAAUACCCUCUCUCAAAUCCAAAUCACUUCUCUGCAUAGCAAUUUCUUGCAAUCUCCUAGUGAUCUCCUCUAUUUUCUUCCCCAUAGUAACGUUUUUCUUAACAGUUCGAGGAUUAUAAAUUGAAAAGCAACCAGGGAUGAGAUUCUUUGGUACCUUACUCAUAGAAGGUUGAGGAGGCUCUGCCAUCAACUUCCGCCGCAAAGCUUCAGUGGCAAACUCAUCUAAGAUAUCUUCCACAUCAUAAGCCAAGUCUCUA
rnacentral:misc_RNA from 1 species